rnacentral:tRNA from 1 species
GAGGGUAUAACUCAGGGGCAAGAGUGCGUGCCUAGCAUGCAUGAGGUCCUAGGUUCAAUCCCCAGCACCUCCG